GUGGGGUUUAGAAUCCCCCCGCGGACCGCACAGUGAGCCCCCACGGGCGGCAUGCGUCCCGCGGGCCGUAUGAUGUGCAGGCCUGGUCUUGUGGCAUACUCGCGACAUGUCUGAAAAGCAUAAGACGCCAUCUGCGGAUAAUGGCCCCAGUAGUCUGUAGACCGGAGCGACCAUAAACAUCUGCUUUACAAAUGAAGUCAUUACACUCUAUGCCCAAUAUACAACGUUGGCAUUUUAUGUGGAAAACCUCCAGCUUUGCCCACUCUGAGUGGUGCAGUCCCAAUGUUUCGCAACCGUACAGCAGUACAGAGAGGAUAUAGCUCGAUUAGAUCCUGAACUUGGUUGUCGUGCCAAGAUGAUGUUGAUUCCGUAUCAUUGUAAACGACCCAUGGCAGAGGCUGCAAUGCCACACUCAGGCACCUAAAUAAAUGGCCUGACCUUUCUCAAAUGCUGAAUACCAAGAACUUCUCACUUGAAUCUGCCGAAGCCGUGGCUGUUCAGCUCCUCUGAAAAUUAAUCCACUCGUUUAGAUGCCUGAAUAUGAAUGUUAGUGCCAGACUUUGGACAGUGACAUAGGAAGACAUUGGCCUGAGCCUAUGCAUGGACUCUCAUCCUACAAUCCAGCCCCUCAACAGAUACAUCCCAGCUUCUGACUGUGAACCAUUCAGCUACAAUGGGGAGGCCUAGAUGCUAGCCCCACAUGAGAGAGGGAAGGAUUUCAGGCCCAAGGCCCAAGUGGGGCAGGAAGAAGCACACGCUCACCUCAGUUGUCUUCUUUGCUGAGGGCGCACUGUCCAGCACGCCGGCAGACUGACCCAGAUCAGAAGGCCUGGACUUGGUACGUGAACGCCAGAAGGGCUGAGGUGCUGUUUCCCGAGGAGCUGUUCCAGGACUAGCGAGGUAAGCACAGACACAGGCCGUGCACUACA